UAAAGGCUUUGGGUCCGCCGGGGCUGCAGCGGCGGCGGCUCCGAAGCGCUUGUUCUUUUUUGUGAAAGGCGAUUCCUCCACCACCUCUUAGGAUCUUGGGCAAGUCACUCAGCCUCGCUGAGCCUGUUUGCAUCAGUAGGGUUUUGUGAGGCUCCAGCCCUUCAACAGAACAUUUGCUGAGCAUCUACUGUGUGCCCAGCAGGGCCUUCUUAGAUCAGGUAUAAGGCAGGAGGGAAGCGUCGGGAGUCCCAGGCCUGCUGCCUCUGUAACCAUGGGCAGGUGGUUCAACAUUACCUCCCCUUCUUCCCCACUGCUCUGCCCCAUCCUGGCUUUUAUUGUAUCUCCUCUAAAAGGGUGUGAGCUCCACGGGGAGGUACCCAUGUGCUUUGAGGAAGGUCUGCCCCAGUUUAUAUUCAAUAGGUACUUUUUGAAUAAUUAUUGCAAAGACUAGUUCUCAGCACAGAGCUUAACACAUAGGAGGUGUUUGAUAAAUGGCAAUUGUUCAUGCAAUAAAGAACAAUAGCAGGCCAGGUGCGCGGUGGCUCACACCUGUAAUCUUAGCACUUUGGGAGUCUGAGGCAGGAUUAUUGCUUGAGCCCAGGAGUUUGAGACCCCUGGGCAAUGGUAGUGGGACCUCAUCUCUUAAAAAAAAAAAAGAAAAAAAGAAAAAAAGAAAAGAAAAAGAAAGACAGAAAUAUAUUAGCCAGGUGUCUUGGUGCAUGCCAGUAGUCCCAGUUAAUUGGGAGGCUGAGGCAGGAGGAUGGCUUGAGCCCAGGAGUUUGACGCUGCAGUGAGCUAUGAUUGUGCCACUGCACUCCAGCCCGGGCAACAGAACAAGACCCUGUCUCCAACAGCAACAACAGCAAAGAAGAACAGAUAGCACUGAUGGAAUGCCUAUUACGUGUAAAGUGGUGUUCUGGGCAUUUCACGUGUAUUACAUGCAAUUUAACAUUAACAAAAUUACAAGUCUUAUAUAACAAUAUUCACAAAAAAAAACCAGAUUAGUCACCAUUAUUAUUCCUAUUUUGCUGAUGUGGAAACCAAGGCAGAGAGAGGCGAGGUAACUUUUCUAAGGUCGCGUGGCUAGGAGGUGGUGGGGCUUGAUUCAAAUCCAGGUCUGUCUACUCCUGGGGCCCUUGUUCUUAACCCCUGCGCUAUCCCAAUACUUGUCUAGUACUCAGCCUUUUUUUUCCAAGAACGUUCUAAGUUAGGCCUGUGCUAGUGGGAAGUGGGAGAGGAGGGGAUAGGAAUCAGGUGGGUGAGGCAGAGCCAGGUGAGCUGGGGUCCUGCCCCCUAUGGCAUGGCCCAGCCCUAUGGGGUGGCAUUGGGCAGGAAGAGGGGCAGUGAGACAGACAGCCACUGGGGCCACGUGUCCUGUAAACAGGCUACCUGCUUGCCAGGCCCUGUGCUGGGCUGGUGGGGGGCAGUGCGGGGCAGUGCUGGGCAUGACACACCCUCCCUGCCCUCAUGGGGCUGUCAGUCUAAACCAGCUACCACUAAUGGUGACCUGAGUGCAGCCUGCAGGAGGGGUUUUGGUUUUGCCUGCAUGGUAUUUAAACACUUUUUAAACAUGAAUUGCCUCGGUCCCCACCCCUCCCUAGUGUCACAGAUGUCAGCUUUACUCAUGUGUCCCACCAGCUCCUGAAUGCCCUGAGCAGCUUUGUUCCCUGGUCUCCCCAUGCCAGCAGCCCGCGGGGGGGGGGUGGGGGGGGGGCUCUGUGGCUGGCACACAGUGACUGCCCUGGCUUUCUUUGCUUUGCCUCCUGUCUGUGUUUGAAAUCCCGAAAUCACCGCCUUGAGCUCUGAAGCCCAGCGGCUCCGAGGCUGCAAGCCUCUCCGCUGGCCCCAGAUGUGCAGCAUGCAGCUUGAAUCUCUGAGGACUCUGGUGGUGGAUGCCAACUCCAACUCACAGUGGGAAUCUGGCCCACAGGACCCAGCCUGCCACCCUCCAGGGAGCCGUGGAGAUUUCAGGAUUUCUCCUCUGCGAAAUGGGGAUAACAGCUCCCUCUUCAUCCGGUUAUGGUCAGGGCUGACCUAAGGGGGCUGAGGGUGAAGGCCACAGGCUGAGAAGCUCUUGCCAGUGGUCAGUGAGGAGCAGCAAAUUCGGGUCUUGGCACUUGAACUGUGGGAGGAUCAAUGCUGCUUGAAGCCAUCGGUUUCUGGGAAUUUGUCACAGCAGCCCAGGAAACACAUGCAGAAGGUUUGGAGAUUGGUCUUUCCGAUGACUAGGGUGCUUUGUGCCCAUUUCAACACUCUCUGCCCUCAGUGGCACAUUCAGACCACGUUGACUUGGGCAAUGGUGAGGGAAAUGCAAAGGAGUCACCCUCUUUGGUUUCUGAAAUGCGGACACACGUUACAAUGGAAACGAGCACUUGGGGCUCCCUGUCUCGGAAAAGUUGUUGAAUCAAUGCACGUUGAUUGCUUCAGCAAUCUAGGAAAUACUAUCCCAACAAAGCAAUUUGAAAUUCCAAACCUGUGACCACUGGACAAGAUCACCUUUCUCCCACUGAGAAGAAGAUCAGCGUUGGCUCGGGCCAAGUCUGGGAGACAGACAAGGCCUCCUUUCAACAUCGUGCCUCCAGGGGAACCAGGCCAAGUAUCGGCCCUCCAGAGACAGCUGCAGCCCUUGGAGGCCUCCCCACUGAGUCCACACCCCUGGCCCAGGGCACUCAGGCUAGCUGACCGGCCCUGCUCCCUGGCCAGCCUCAUUUCCUCCUGUUCUCUUGCUUGGUGCCCCUAGCAGCCGUCUUGCACCUGGCCACUGCUUCCCACGCCAGGGCCUUUGCCUUUGCUGUUCCCCUGCCUGGCAUGGUCUCGUCAUUCAGGGCUCAGCCUGAAUGUCACCUCCUCCUGGAAGCCUUACCCUCAUCUCGUUAUGUCCUACCCCAUCACCCUAUUUCUUUCCCUUGGGUCACCAGUAAGAACCUGGGUUGAGCUUGUGCAGCCGUCUCAUUGUCUUAGCCUCACGAAACUGUAAACCCUUUGACAAAAGGGAUCUGUCUGGUUUGUUUGACGUGUAACCCCAGCUUCCAGCCUAGCACAGAGAAAGCUCCAUGGAGACACUGACUGUCAGAUGACUGCAGACCUCCCCACAAGGAGGAGGGAAGCUGGCCUCCAAGGAGGCGCAUCCCACAGUGCAGUGGUCUCUGGCCAGGGUGGGUCAUUACGCCAUUGGUUUAUAGCGCCAUUUGCUUCGGCCCCUUUUGGUGGCAUCCCAGGGUUUAAAGUGACCAGGCAGCUAGUGUGGGGAGACGGGACACAGCUGUCUGAGGUCAGGGGGUCUGUAUGUGCCUCUCCGGCAGGGAACAGCCUCGGCCGUCAGAAGCCAGGUUUCAGCAUUUAGGAUGCAGCCAACAGCCAAAUUGCUUUCUUGGUUUUAUAUAUAAGGGCUUUUUUUGGUACCAUAAGGGCGGGUGGACAGGGCUGCCUUUGCUUCCUGGAGGGUCUGGUUCCUUUCGGGGAAGGUCUCAGUUGGCCACUGGAGUAACAGCACUGCGUCGGCCCAUGUGGCCAGCCAGCAUCCCUGUGCUCAUGGCUAAGGACAGGCUGUUACUCUGUUCUGCGGGUCUUGAAGUCAUUUGGUCAAGUGGACUUCAGAAGGAGAGAGAGAGAAGGACAGACAGCAUCCAUGGAGACUGCCACAGAGAAUGGAAAGAGAAUGGGAUCUGCAGUCUGAUGGGCUGGCAUAUCUCAGCAGCAGCAACAACAACACAAUAAUAUGGAAUUCAGUCCAGGCACGGUGGUUCCCGCCUGUAAUCCUAGCACUUUCGGAGACUGAGGUGGGAGUUUGAGCCCAGGAGUUUGAAACCAGCCUGGGCAACAUGGUGAAACUCCAUCUCUACACGAAAUACAACAAUUAGCUAGGCAUGUUGGCAUGUGCCUGUAGUCCCAGCUACUGGGGAGGCUGAGACAGGAGGAUUGCUUGAGCCCAGGAGGUGGAGGCUGCAGUGAGCUGUGUUUGUACUACCACACUCCAGCCUGGGCGACAAAGUGAGACCCUGUCUCAAAAUAAUACUAAAUACUGAGUUCAUCUUGCAUUCCUCCUACACGCUGAGCACUACUCAGGCAUUCACCUAAAUUACUUCACACAGUUCUCAUGAGAACCUUAUGAGGUAGGUCUCAGUACUGUCCCUUUUUACAGACACGGAAGUGGAUGCCCAGAGAGGGUCACUUGCUCCCUUUUUUUUUCUUUUUUCUUAUUUUUUUUGAGACAGUGUCUGGCUCUGUUGCCCAGGCUGGAGUGCAGUGGCAUGAGCUCUGCUCACUGCAGCCUCCGCCUCCCAGGUUCAAGCGAUUCUCGUGCAUCAGCCUACUGAGUAGCUGGGACUAUAGGCAUGUGCCACCAUAUCCGACUAAUUUUUGUAUUUUUAGUAGAGACAGGGCUUUGCCAUGUUGGCCGGGCUGGUAUCGAAUUCCUGACCUCAAGUGAUCUGCCCGCCUCGGCCUCCCAAAGUGCUGGGAUUACAGGCGUGAGCCACCUCAGCCAGCUGUCAGUUGCUCACUUGGUGAAGUCAGGAUUCUAAUUCAGGCUGUUGGAGUUUGAAACUGAAGCUCCUCUCCAUUAAUGGAAGAACCCAGAUUUGGGAGUUUCCCGGAAGAACCACCUGGGGUGGGAGGAGAAUUGACUGGAGCAACACUAGCAAUGCCCACAGUAACAACCCCAGCGACGCUAAUAGCCUGGCCGUGGGAGCAGCUGCUUAUGAGCCUGGCCCGCAGCCGGGCCCUGGUUAAAGACCUUCAUGUACUUCAUUCCACGCUCCCAGCAACUUCCCACAGCCAGCACGUCACGGGUGCUUGGGAAGUGUUACUUGCACAUUUGUUGACUCAAUCACUGAACAACUCUAGGUGGCCGUUAAUUUUAUCGCGUUUUGCAGAGGAGAGCACUGAGAUUCAAAGGAGCCAAUUUGCCUGGUGACUGCCCUGCUCAGCGCUGAGGACCAGUUCUGGUCUGGGAUGACGUUUCCAUCAGGCAGCUGCGAAAUUAGGCCACAUGGAAGAUGUUGUGAACUUUUUGCAAAAAGAAGUGUUAUUUCUGUUACGUUGAUGUUAAAGAUUCUCCUAUGAAAUUAUUUUGAUUGCAGAAAGUAACUUUAAAAUGUUAUUAUUACUAACCUAUGGUGGUCUCUUGCCAUCCCCUUCUGAAAAGUCAUGCCAGUUGGUGAAUUCUGGACAUGUGGGAGCCACUUCUCAAGGUCACAGCAUCCAGGUACCUGGAAUGUGAGCCCAGGUCUGGGUGAUUGCACAGCUCUGCCACCUGAUCAGCUCCAUAAACUAAAGGUGGGGGAUUUCACCUUUCUUAGCCUCAUCGGGAAAGCAAGGCAUUACAAGAACCCGCCCUGGCACAUUACUGAGAAACCAGGAUGAAGUGAGGAUUCCAAUCCCAUUUCCUGGCAUACAGUAGAUGCAGGUUUUGCCCUAAUGCAAACCCAGGGUCCCCCAUGCCUGAGGGCAGGCUUAGAAAUGUCAUAAAUCAACCCAGAGAAGAGAAGGGAGAGGCAAGCAUGUUUGUGGGGGAAAAAAAUGCCUGUGGGGUGGAAGACUACAGUGAUAAAUGAAGAAGCAGAGGACUUUGAUUUCUGGUAACAACGACAAAAACUAAAGAAAAUGUUGAUGUACACUCACAGUUUGUCAGUGGAAUGUCCCAAUGCUGAAAGUAAGUAGGAAUAUAAGGGAACACUGGGAUUGGCACCAGGGAAAAUACCUCCAGGCUGGGGGAAGUGAUCCAGUGGCUUGCAAAGGUGGAAGAGGCAAGUCCAGCCAAGGUCAGUUGUUGGGGAAGGUUGCUUGGAGGAUCCUUGGGUCUGACCACAGCUUCACUCUUGAAACUUGAUCAUCUCAGCUGCCUCAGUAGGUCUGGUUUCCUGAAAGCCAGGACCACUUAGCGGAGGUCCUUGGGCAAAUCACUUCAUCUCUCUGGGCUCAGUUAGCUCCUCUGUAAAAUGGGUGGAAACAUACAAAUGCUGUCAUGGAUUAAAGCCCUCGGAGCAGUGCAAGGCACCAGGCAGCCACUCAGCUCUGCUUGCUGUCCCUUGUAGGAAGGAGGCAAACCCCCAGUCCCUGUGAGUCCCUCCCCAGCACCUGCACACAGGGUUGGGCAAACAGUCAGUGGGGAGAGACGGGACCGUCCUGGAAGGUGAGGGGAACUUCAGACAGCAAUUUCUAGAAUCCAAGUUCUCCUCUGGGUUCAGUCUUAGGUUGGCAGCUGCCAGGCACUUCCGGGAAAGGCAAAUAACAGAAUUGCUGGUGUUGAGAGGUGAAAUAAUACAGUCCCAACAGUGCACGCGCAUGCUUUGUAAGUCAAGAGAUUUUGAUAUGCUUCCAGCUGUAUCCCCAGGAUACACAGCACUAUGCACUAUGCCUGGUGCAUAGCAGAUGCUUAAUUAACAUAACUUGAGUCAAAAAUUGAAUAUGGUUCUCAAGGGUGGCAAAGUACAGCCUGUGGGCCACAUCCAGCCUGGUGCCUGUCUUUGUACCUGCCAGUUACGAGUGGCCUUUACAUUUUUAAAUGGUUGGAAAAAGGCAAAGGAAUAAUAUUCUGUGGUACAUGAAAACUGUAUGCAAUUCAAAGUUCUGUGCCCAUAAAUAAAUUAUUUUGGGGAAUGCAAA